GGGGACGUUCUUGGAUUCGACGGGGAUAGUUCGAGCAUGAGUAGCGGGUAGUGGGGACGCGUCCGCUUUAUCAACGCUACAGCCAAUUAACUGGCAACCAACGUACAACUUUAGCAGCAGCUUAAUAACCUGUGUGCUAAGCUUCUACCGUCCAUCGCCCAUGUGGCCGGAUAGGGGCUCAACCUUAGUGGGAUACGCUGUCUCAUCUCCGCCUGCGGUGAGCUGAAGAAGACAAUCAGGCUGACCCAAAGGAUAGCCGGUUACGGGGCGAUUCUAGGGUGACAUCAAAACUGUGGCUACACCCGUAGAAGCUUAUGUGGCGUUAUCUUCGGACAGGGGUUCGACUCCCCUCGUCUCCAUAA
rnacentral:tmRNA from 1 species